UACAGAGGGUGCGAGCGUUGUCCGGAAUCACUGGGCGUAAAGCGCACGUAGGCGGAUAUUUAAGUCAGGGGUGAAAUCCCAGAGCUCAACUCUGGAACUGCCUUUGAUACUGGGUAUCUGGAGUAUGGAAGAGGUGAGUGGAAUUCCGAGUGUAGAGGUGAAAUUCGUAGAUAUUCGGAGGAACACCAGUGGCGAAGGCGGCUCACUGGUCCAUUACUGACGCUGAGGUGCGAAAGCGUGGGGAGCAAACAGG
rnacentral:rRNA from 1 species